AAGUCGUAACAAGGUUUCCGUAGGUGAACCUGCGGAAGGAUCAUUAACACGUAUCCACGUAUUUAUCAACCAACUACCACGAACCGUUCUCCCCGAGACUUACCUAACCGCAAGGCUGUGUUGUAAGGUUAAGGCGGGCCCCGCCUGUGCGCUUGUACGUACGGCCGUAAGGACCAUCUUAUGACACUAUCGAUCCGUUGAGAUCGUGGCUGAGCACCUGGUUUGUCGGGCUUUAUUAUCAUUCCAAUAGCACUUCACCGUCUGCGUGUGCGUUGGUUUGAGACCAUAACCUGUUUCACCCUAUUUUGACCAAUUGGCUAAUAUUAACGAUUGAGAGAGAAAUCUCUUGAUCUCUAAGAUUUAUCUUAACUAAGCACAACUCUUAGCAAUGGAUAUCUUGGUUCUC
rnacentral:misc_RNA from 1 species